rnacentral:rRNA from 1 species
UACGAGGGGGGCUAGCGUUGUUCGGAAUUACUGGGCGUAAAGGGCUCGUAGGCGGCCAACUAAGUCAGACGUGAAAUCCCUCGGCUUAACCGGGGAACUGCGUCUGAUACUGGAUGGCUUGAGUUUGGGAGAGGGAUGCGGAAUUCCAGGUGUAGCGGUGAAAUGCGUAGAUAUCUGGAGGAACACCGGUGGCGAAGGCGGCAUCCUGGACCAACACUGACGCUGAGGAGCGAAAGCCAGGGGAGCAACGGG